UACGGAGGGUGCAAGCGUUGCUCGGAAUUAUUGGGCGUAAAGGGUAGGUAGGUGGUCUCAUUUGUCCGGGGUGAAAGCCUUGAGCUUAACUCAAGAAGUGCCUCGGAAACGGUGAGACUAGAGUCUUGGAGAGGGUCGUGGAAUUCCCGGUGUAGCGGUGAAAUGCGUAGAGAUCGGGAGGAACACCAGAGGCGAAGGCGGCGACCUGGACAAGUACUGACACUCAACUACGAAAGCGUGGGGAGCAAACAGG
rnacentral:rRNA from 1 species